rnacentral:rRNA from 1 species
CCUACGGGAGGCAGCAGUGGGGAAUAUUGGACAAUGGGCGAAAGCCUGAUCCAGCAAUGCCGCGUGAGUGAUGAAGGCCUUAGGGUUGUAAAGCUCUUUUACCCGGGAUGAUAAUGACAGUACCGGGAGAAUAAGCUCCGGCUAACUCCGUGCCAGCAGCCGCGGUAAUACGGAGGGAGCUAGCGUUAUUCGGAAUUACUGGGCGUAAAGCGCACGUAGGCGGCUUUGUAAGUAAGAGGUGAAAGCCUGGUGCUCAACACCCAGAACUGCCUUUUAGACUGCAUCGCUUGAAUCCAGGAGAGGUGAGUGGAAUUCCGGAGUGUAGAGGUGAAAUUCGUAGAUAUUCGGAAGAACACCAGUGGCGAAGGCGGCUCACUGGGACUGGUAUUGACGCUGAGGUGCGAAAGCGUGGGGAGCAAACAGGAUUAGAUACCCGUGGUAGUCCACGCCGUAAACGAUGAUAACUAGCUGUCGGGGCUCUUAGAGCUUCGGUGGCGCAGCUAACGCAUUAAGUUAUCCGCCUGGGGAGUACGGCCGCAAGGUUAAACUCGAAAUGAAUUGACGG